rnacentral:rRNA from 1 species
AUUGAACGCUGGCGGCAUGCCUUACACAUGCAAGUCGAACGGUAACGGGCCUUCGGGUGCCGACGAGUGGCGAACGGGUGAGUAAUGCAUCGGAACGUACCUUUCAGUGGGGGAUAACGUAGCGAAAGUUACGCUAAUACCGCAUAUUCUGUGAGCAGGAAAGCAGGGGAUCGCAAGACCUUGCGCUGAUUGAGCGGCCGAUGUCAGAUUAGCUAGUUGGUGAGGUAAAGGCUCACCAAGGCGACGAUCUGUAGCGGGUCUGAGAGGAUGAUCCGCCACACUGGAACUGAGACACGGUCCAGACUCCUACGGGAGGCAGCAGUGGGGAAUUUUGGACAAUGGGGGCAACCCUGAUCCAGCCAUGCCGCGUGAGUGAAGAAGGCCUUCGGGUUGUAAAACUCUUUUCUGAGGGAAGAACCGCCGGAGCAGGAAAUAGGCUUCGGCCUGACGGUACCUCAGGAAUAAGCAACGGCUAACCCUCGUGCCAGCAGCCGAC